rnacentral:rRNA from 1 species
UGAACGCUGGCGGCAUGCCUUACACAUGCAAGUCGAACGGCAGCGCGGGGCAACCUGGCGGCGAGUGGCGAACGGGUGAGUAAUAUAUCGGAACGUACCCUGGAGUGGGGGAUAACGUAGCGAAAGUUACGCUAAUACCGCAUACGAUCUACGGAUGAAAGUGGGGGAUCGCAAGACCUCAUGCUCGUGGAGCGGCCGAUAUCUGAUUAGCUAGUUGGUAGGGUAAAAGCCUACCAAGGCAUCGAUCAGUAGCUGGUCUGAGAGGACGACCAGCCACACUGGGACUGAGACACGGCCCAGACUCCUACGGGAGGCAGCAGUGGGGAAUUUUGGACAAUGGGCGCAAGCCUGAUCCAGCAAUGCCGCGUGAGUGAAGAAGGCCUUCGGGUUGUAAAGCUCUUUUGUCAGGGAAGAAACGGUGGGAGCUAAUAUCUCUCACUAAUGACGGUACCUGAAGAAUAAGCACCGGCUAACUACGUGCCAGCAGCCGCGGUAAUACGUAGGGUGCAAGCGUUAAUCGGAAUUACUGGGCGUAAAGCGUGCGCAGGCGGUUUUGUAAGUCUGAUGUGAAAUCCCCGGGCUCAACCUGGGAAUUGCAUUGGAGACUGCAAGGCUAGAGUUUGGCAGAGGGGGGUAGAAUUCCACGUGUAGCAGUGAAAUGCGUAGAUAUGUGGAGGAACACCGAUGGCGAAGGCAGCCCCCCUGGGUCAAGACUGACGCUCAUGCACGAAAGCGUGG